ensembl:lncRNA
AAGAAGUCAAAGACUACUGGAAAGAAGAUCAGAGGAGAUCAGCAUUUCUUGGCAGAUGACGUUUAAAGGAAAUAUCCAUGGCCAAAAGAGGGUGUAUAUUUUCUACCACUUUGGAAGAGCAAUGGCUACAAGAAUGAUGGUUGAUGGACAGUAAGUUAAAAAUUGUGAACGCUGCUGGUGGGUGUCCCCUGUGGCAGAUGAAAACUGAUAGCUCCAGUUCCUGGAAUUCCAGCAUGAUUUGAGCACUUCAGAUUGUGUUGCAACAAAGUUAGUUCUGGCAUUCCCUUGCAGAGAGUGAUUUGAAAACCUGACUCACAACCAUCCUACAGACGCAGAAACAAAAAAGAAUCUGGAGCACUGUGUAAACGAGGGAAGAGAGAUGUACCAUUAGUGCAGCGUGCACAUGAGAUGCAGCAA